rnacentral:miRNA from 1 species
UUGCACUGGCUAGCCCAGGGGA